UUUGUAGACCUUAGCAGAGUUUGCGUUCACAUUACUUUUUUCUAAAAAUGAAUUCCGAUAAUUUGGUUGUUGGUUGGAAUUAUGUUUAGUAUUAAUAAUGUAAAACAUAAAGAACAAGGUCCUAUAAGCAACAAAGAAAUGUUCUUCGUGGUGCAAAAAAGGUGGGAGCUCCCAGGAGGUUAAAAAAGUCGAAUCACAACGUCAGAUACAACAAAGGUAGGAACUUCUAGGGAGGGAGUUAAAAAAGUAGAAUCACAACGUCAGAUACAACAAAGGUAGGAGCUCACAGGAAGGGAGUUAAAAAAGUAAAAUCACAACGUCAGAUACAACAAAGGUAAGAGCUCACAGGAAGGGAGUUAAAAAAGUAAAAUCACAACGUCAGAUACAACAAAGGUAGGAGCUCACAGGAAGGGAGUUAAAAAAGUAAAAUCACAACGUCAGAUACAACAAAGGUACUCACAGGAAGGGAGUUAAAAAAGUCAAAUCACUACGUCAAAUACAACAAAGGUAGGAGCUCCCAAAGAGGGGGUUAAAAGGUCGAAUCACAACGUCAAAUACAACGAUCAGAGCAUGAAAGUAAAAUAAUGAAAUGUGAACCAUGAGAUGCACAAAUUCUUCACAAAAAGUCAUAAAUAUAGAUUUCCGAGUACAAGCUAUAGAGAGCUUAAUGCAAUACGCGUGAUGGAAAAGAAUCUCGUUAUAAACAGCAAUUUCAAGAAUAUUUUGUAUCCAUGACAGAGCAAAGACGAAAUUGUAGAUAACAUAACGAUAAUGUAAA